rnacentral:lncRNA from 1 species
AUGGACGCAAGCGUGUGGCCAAUGAGGAGGAGAAGAUACCGCAGCGAGCCAGAGGGGAAGGAGUGGGCGGGCCAACGCCCUCCCCUCCCUCCGGCGGCCGGGUCCUCCCUCCCGCCCUGUUCGGCAUCUUCUAGGCUGACUCCAAGCUGUCCGAGGGAGCCCCAGCAUCUGCUCUUCACGGCCCAAGGACACCCUUGAGUCUCCGCAGUUGGUGCGGGAGGGUCUGUGGUGGACGACUUGCCUGUGUGGUUUUGUUUUCCUUUGUCUACAUUUGGUUGGCAUAAACACUUCUGAAAAAUGGGCUGCAGCUGAUGCCUUUUAGUUUGGUUCCUUUAACGAGGGGUUUAUAAAACGACUCUUACCAUGCAGAACACAUGUUCUCGGUAUACAGUUACUUGAUGGAUUGAAACAGUGCUGAGGGAGGCAGAACACAUGGUUUAAAAUAUUCCUAAAAUGCAUAAUUACCCCGUGGACCAAUCGGGUACAUAAUAUACAUUUUAAUACACCAUUUAAUUGCUGUUUACCUAGGAGACAGGAACUUUUCUGGUCUCUUGGGUUAAACUACAGAUUUUUAGAAAUUGUCUAAACACAUAUUUACUUGAUUCAUUCUGGUCUCUUGGGUGAAGAAUCCUUUUCCAAUGAAGUGGCUUCACAUGCGAAACAAGAGAAUUAGAUGCUCUAAGGUGGUGGCUACUAAUGAAAAGACAAAGGCUUUAUCUUUCAUGAUUCAGGAAUAACAAUCCCAAAGCGCAGGCUGAACCCGAGAGGCCUAAAAAUAAUUCACUCCAGUAAUUCCACAUCACUGAGACUCUCCCCCUCCCAACACAUGAAUAUUGUUUCAUCAUAAGCAUUUCUGAUAGAAAUGUUUAAACUGCAUCAUAGUGGCUUCUUUAAAAGAGAAUAUGAAGGAGAACCGGCUGGAGAGCUCCAUCUCUAAAACCCCAGUCCAGGGGAGAGCCAUUAUCUCCCUCCCCACAAAACCUGCUUCUCCCUCCAUGUUUCCCAUCUGAAGAAACGGCACCAAAAGCCACCCAGUACCCAUGUCAGAAACCAAAGUGUCAUCCUUUACUCCUUCCUCUCUCUUCUCAUACCCCCAUCCAAUCAGAAACUAUUUGGGCAUAUUACUUAGCUUCUCUGUGCCUCAGUUUCCUCAUCUGUAAAAUGAGAGUUAUAAUAAUACAGACCUCAUAAGGUUGUC